rnacentral:rRNA from 1 species
AGCGAACGCUGGCGGCAGGCCUAACACAUGCAAGUCGAGCGCCCCGCAAGGGGAGCGGCAGACGGGAGAGUAACACGUGGGAACGUACCCUUCAGUUCGGAACAACCCAGGGAAACUUGGGCUAAUACCGGAUACGUCCGUAAGGAGAAAGAUUUAUCGCUGAAGGAUCGGCCCGCGUCCGAUUAGCUAGUUGGUGAGGUAACGGCUCACCAAGGCGACGAUCGGUAGCUGGUCUGAGAGGAUGAUCAGCCUCACUGGGACUGAGACACGGCCCAGACUCCUACGGGAGGCAGCAGUGGGGAAUAUUGGACAAUGGGCGCAAGCCUGAUCCAGCCAUGCCGCGUGGAUGAUGAAGGCCCUAGGGUUGUAAAGUCCUUUCGGCGGGGAAGAUAAUGACGGUACCCGCAGAAGAAGCCCCGGCUAACUUCGUGCCAGCCGCCGCAGUAAAAC